AGUGUAGGCGGGAUCGUAAGUUAGGAGUUUAAUGCAUGGGCUUAACCCAUGACCUGCUUUUAAUACUGCGGUUCUUGAGUAUGGGAGAGGGCGAUGGAAUUCCAGGUGUAGCGGUGGAAUGCGUAGAUAUCUGGAAGAACACCAGUAGCGAAGGCGGUCGCCUGGCCCAAUACUGACGCUGAUGCUCGAAAGCUAGGGGAGCAAACAGGAUUAGAUACCCUGGUAGUCCUAGCCGUAAACGAUGGACACUAGUUGCUGGAGGAGUCAAUUCUUUCAGUGACGAAGCUAACGCAUUAAGUGUCCCGCCUGGGGAGUACGCUCGCAAGGGUGAA
rnacentral:rRNA from 1 species